rnacentral:rRNA from 1 species
AUUGAACGCUGGCGGCAGGCCUAACACAUGCAAGUCGAACGAGUGGCGGACGGGUGAGUAAUGUCUGGGAAACUGCCUGAUGGAGGGGGAUAACUACUGGAAACGGUAGCUAAUACCGCAUACCAUCAGAUGUGCCCAGAUGGGAUUAGCUAGUUGGUGGGGUAACGGCUCACCAAGGCGACGAUCCCUAGCUGGUCUGAGAGGAUGACCAGACACACUGGAACGUAGACAGGGUCCAGACUCCGACGGGAGGAAGCAGUGGGGAAUAGUGCACAAUGGGCGCAAUCCUGAUGCAGCCAGGCCGCGUGGAGGAAGAAGGCCUUCGGGUUGUAAAGUACUUUCAGCGGGGAGGCGUUACCCGCAGAAGAAGCACCGGCUAACUCCGUGCCAGCAGCCGCGGUAAUUC